GAUGAACGCUGGCGGCGUGCCUAAUACAUGCAAGUCGAGCGAACAGAUGAGGAGCUUGCUCCUCUGACGUUAGCGGCGGACGGGUGAGUAACACGUGGAUAACCUACCUAUAGGACUGGGAUAAAUUCGGGAAACCGGAGCUAAUACCGGAUAAUAUAUUGAACCGCAUGGUUCAAUAGUGAAAGACGGUUUUGCUGUCACUUAUAGAUGGAUCCGCGCCGCAUUAGCUAGUUGGUAAGGUAACGGCUUACCAAGGCAACGAUGCGUAGCCGACCUGAGAGGGUGAUCGGCCACACUGGAACUGAGACACGGUCCAGACUCCUACGGGAGGCAGCAGUAGGGAAUCUUCCGCAAUGGGCGAAAGCCUGACGGAGCAACGCCGCGUGAGUGAUGAAGGUCUUCGGAUCGUAAAACUCUGUUAUUAGGGAAGAACAAAUGUGUAAGUAACUAUGCACGUCUUGACGGUACCUAAUCAGAAAGCCACGGCUAACUACGUG
rnacentral:rRNA from 1 species